UUUGUAGUCCCUCCGUACCAAAAUUCUUGUCUUAAAUUUGUCUAAAUACGGAUGUAUCUAGUUACAUUUUAGUGUUAGAUACAUCCGUAUCUAAACAAAUGUAAGACAAGAAUUUUGGGAUGGAGGGAAUACUAC
rfam:Triticum aestivum genome assembly, contig: Triticum_aestivum_CS42_TGACv1_scaffold_595236_7BS